rnacentral:rRNA from 1 species
CAAAAACCGGGUGGAUCCAAGCGUUGAUUCGUCUUCUAGGCGUCUCUUCGAAAAAUCCUCCAAUACGGUUAUGUGGUGACUCUGGAUAACUACCGCCGAGCGCUGAGGUCUUAGUACCGGCGCCGUAUCCUUCGAGUGUCUGCCUUAUCAGCUCUCGAUUGUAGGUUAUUCGCCUACAAUGGCUGUAACGGGUAACGGGGAAUCAGGGUUCGAUUCCGGAGAGGGAGCCUGAGAAACGGCUACCACAUCUAAGGAAGGCAGCAGGCACGCAAAUUACCCAAUCCCGGCACGGGGAGGUAGUGACGAAAAAUAACGAUGUGGGACUCUUCCGAGGCCUCACAAUCGGAAUGAGUCUUAUUUAAAAACAUGGACGAGGAUCCAUUGGAGGGCAAGUCUGGUGCCAGCAGCCGCGGUAAUUCCAGCUCCAAUAGCGUAUAUUAAAGUU